AGCGAACGUUAGCGGCAGGCCUAACACAUGCAAGUCGCACGAGGGAAUCCGGGCUCGGUCGGUAGUAAAGUGGCGGACGGGUGAGUAACACGUGGAUAAUCUGCCCCUCGGCGGGGGACAACAGUCCGAAAGGAUUGCUAAUACCGCAUACGUCAGCGAGGUCUUCGGACCUUGUUGGGAAAGAUGGCCUCUUCAUGAAAGCUAUCACCGAAGGAUGAGUCCGCGGCCCAUCAGCUAGUUGGCGGGUAAUGGCCCACCAAGGCUUAGACGGGUAGCUGGUCUGAGAGGAUGAUCAGCCACACUGGAACUGAGACACGGUCCAGACUCCUACGGGAGGCAGCAGU
rnacentral:rRNA from 1 species